ACAACAACUAUCACAUGUAUAACAAAUUAAAUUAACAUCAUAAUUGUUAAGCUCAGACAGUAGAAGCAUAUACUUAAAAAUGUUUUCUUUAUUACCUGAUCAUCUCUAUCAUAUAAGUCUUGAUCUGUACACUUGAACAUCAUCUGUCACAAGAUUACGAUCAGUCAUGGAAAACAGAAUCCCGUUUAGGUAAGCUUCUACUUUUAGUUUUGGCUUAUUUCUUCUGUUUGGAUAACUAAAGAAAAGUUCUUUUGAAGUUAUUUCGGGUGAAGCUAGAUCCAAACACGACUUUAGUAAUCCUAAAAGCUAAAAAAGAACUUAUAGAACAAAGCCAAACGGGGUCGAACUUAUGGACUAUUAUAAGACAGAACAAAUAUAAUAUGUUAUGAUGUUAAGAACCAUUGUCAAACCUUAAAAUGAUUGAAAUGUCUACAUUUUUUUAAGAGAAAAGCAUAAGCUUUUAGUUGUUCAUGAGUUUGCUUAAGCAACAAGGAAGGACAUGGUAGUAACUAACCUUCAUUGAAAACCUAUGCAAGAGAGGAGCAGCCUUUAUCAUCAAACAAGGCCAAAUGAUACAUUGAUCACAGUAAGCCAUUAUAGACAGUUCCAAUUGCUCAAGAUUACUUAAUUCAGGAACUUGAGUAUCAAAAGCUCUGGCCACAUGAUUGAAGUUAUAGACCUAAUUAACAUUAAAGAAGAACACAACAACAUAUGAGAAAUAAGUGAAAGUACAAAAGUAGUUGUUUUUAAGGUAAAGGAGUUUCUUUCAUUUCUUUCAAAUACUAACCGAACUAGACAUGUCCAACUUGAGUAUCUUCAACAUAGAAAAAUACCCGAAAAGCUCUUUAGAUCGAUUAGCCAAGGAAAUAGUAUUAUUUCCUCCAAAAUACACCUCAGAUAGAUUUGGAACUUUAUUGAAUGGCAUAUCAAUCAAUGGUCCAUCAUACCCAAAUGAAACAAGAUUUGGUGUUGAGAUCUUAACAACUUUUAUGAGUGGACACUCUAAAAUCUUUAAGCUCUUCAAAUUGAAACCUUCACAUUCAGAAACUUCAACUUUGAUCAAAGAAUUAGAACCCUUGAUACAUAAAUUCACAAGAUUGUGACAUUUAUCCAAGAAAUACUCAACAACAUCAUCAUUGACAUCAACAAAACUCAGAUUCAGAUCAGUCAAUGAACAAAAAGCAUCACUUCUAAGUUUUCCCCAAAUUUUAUUGCACAAAACUGAAAUAUGCAAACAAUAAGGGUUUCUCAACAUUCCUCCCCAUCGACCUGGAAACCCUAAAUCAAGCUUCUUUACCUCUUUUACAGCAGCAAAUUCGACCCAUUUGUUAAUAUCCAAACAGUAACUAUUAUCAAGAUCGAAACAAAUUUUCAAUUCCUCGAGCUUCAAAGACCUAUGCUUUCCCAUAACUCGAUUGACCCAAUUCGCAUACCUUGGUCUCUCGAAGCUUCGCUCUUUCCUUAACCAUCUCAUAUCCUCCAUUGUCUUGCUCGCAUCGAAUUCCAAUGUUCCUGAAAUUAGGGUCCAGAGAUUCUUCCAUCGCCGAGAAAGUAAGCUUGUUCUUGUUGAGUCUCUUAAAGAUAAGAAAUUGAGUACCAAAACCAGAAUAUCAUCAGGUAAUUUACUGAUUAGAUCUUCGUGAUGAUGAUGAUGAUGAUGAUCCAUUGUUGAUAUUUUGCCCUAAUUGAACCAUUUCCUUUUAGAAUUU